CGAGCUUGAGUUCAACCCGACUCAGAUAACGAAAAUAGCACUAAUGAGACUGCAUAGGGUAGUUGUGGUAUAAAUUCGAGCUUGAGUUUAACUAGACUCAGAUAAUGAAAAUAGCACUAACUAGACUGCAUAGUGUAGUUCAAAGAUCAUCAUCAUUCCAUUGUAAGAUACGAGAAAGAUAAAGGAAAUACAAUUCUGGAAAUGUUUUAUACUCAUACAGAAAAGCAGAGAUAAACAUGAACAAGGACUCAGAAUCGCUACUUAAAGCUAAAGUUCAAAAGAGCCGAGCAGCCUCCGACAAGAGGGCAUCCACCAAGUGAACAAACUCUUAGGAAAAGGAACUCGAGAUCUUCCGGGAUAACUAGCCAGAGCUCCUCUACUUGGAUCUCUGUCUCAUUUUUCGGCGCUUCCUUUUAAGCCUCCUCAUUCUCUUCUUCUUCCACUGCACACACAAACAAGCAGAAUUCAGUUUUCAUGCCCAGAAAAACAGAAUCGAAAUUCACAAGUGGACAGAAUCAAGAGAGGUGAAAUCGACUUGGAACUGUUAAACAUUGUCACAAAAAGCAUAGUCCCAGCCAGACCCAACUCAGUAAUGAUUUGAAUUGAGCAAAAUUCAAUAAACCACAACUUUUGCAAUGCAAAGCUCUCAAAACCUCUUAAAACCCAAGUGAAAAGUGAUCAAAUUGGCCAAAAACUCAAAUCAAUUUGUGACCCAACGAGUCUACAACCCAACCUAUUGACUUUGACAGCAAUAAUCGAGCUAAUAAUCACUCAAACCAAAUACUGAGCUAGAAGAGACCAAGCAUUUUCAGAAAACGAAGGUUUCAGCUUUCAUGACAGGAAAUCAAAGGCAGAAUCUAAAAUCACAAGCUCUAAAGAAUUUAAGAAACCUGUAAAUCAGCUGAUAAUCAUACAAAUCAAGUGAUGAGCUAGCAGUAGCAUGAACAACUUAUUCAUCUGAUAAUCACGGUGCAUCGACAGUAAAAACCCAGAAAAGAGACGACCCAAAGGAUUGAUAGAUCGUUUCAAUUCGUCACGGAUAAAAAAGCACAAUCUCAGGCUACUCAUCGAGACAAAGAAUCUACACUUAACAUUUCGACUACCAGAGUACGAUACCUCCACAUUUACAGCAAAUCAAGCUACGAACUCACGAAUAGAAAGAAUGCAUCAUGAUUUCAAGUCAUAGCAAUCAUGGACAACGAACAUAGGCGAUUCAAACACAGACAGAUAAAAACAGAGAAAUCCACACCAUUACAGAAGAUUAUACACAGAUUUCAGAACUAGAUCGAUGAAUAUAAACUGUAUACCCACCUUAGCCCUCAUCUUGCUUCAAACUCGGUGAAAAUCCCAACUUCUCUCUCGACUGCGAUUGAAGGCGACGGGGAAAAAAAAUAUGGCAGCCGAUGGUGAAACUCCCAACUUCACUCUAGUGUUUAUAUAGUCCUUCAGGUAAACCCUAAUCCGUAUCCUUACAGUAUUCGAAUCAAGGGACAUUACCGUCUUUUUCAGUACCUACGUCCAGUAAUGUUUCUACGGCGUCGUAUCGAGCAUGGGCUGUGACGAAUCCAUGUCUAUAAUGGUUCAACAUUAGGCUUACUAGCCGAGUUGAACUCCACCCGAUUCAAACUCGAUUAGUUUAUUUUUCACAAAAAAACUUUAUGACUCAAUAUCGCACUAACAUAAACUAAACACGAUAGGAAAAGAAAGUUGAAUGAUGCUACAGGGAAGGAGAUGCCAACCAUAUCCAAGUUACUAAUCGAACUUCACAGACCUCAAAUACGGCCUUUAAUGAGCUAGAGUUGUAACUCAAGUUAGAAGAUUGAAAUUUUAUUAAGCUAAUUCGAAUCUCUCUUAUUAAUUAUCCUUCAUGAGUUAUUUGUGCUCAACUCAAACUCCGCUUAUAAAAAUUCUUAACGAGUUCAAUUUGAACUCAACUUCAAACUUGUAGACUAAAAAUAUCGAUGAGCUUAACUAAUAAACUACCUAUAUACAUGUUUUUAUUAGCACAAUCACAAGUAUAUGAUUUAUAAUCUAUCAUAUCUAAUACGAAACACUCAUUACAUUAUUAAACUUACAAGUGAUAUAGUCGUAUUAGCAAUUUAGUAUUAUAGUUGGCUUUCGAGUUAGAGCUCAAAUCAGCCUUUAAAUGUAUAGAGUCGAACAUAUUAUGAGUAAUGAAACAAAGUUUUCAAACCGAACAAGUGGCUUGACCGGUGAACCGUCCGACUCUUUAGUUUGUUUUGGACCCAUAAGUUCGUCACUCAAAACGACGAUUACCGUCUUUACAAUCUACUGUGAGCUGCCCUUCAAAGCACAUGUCAGAAAUGGAGAAUCCUCCGGCCAUCGCCGAUUCCAACGAGGAAAGCAACGGCGUCGCCACAACGGAAGCGACGAAUUCAACUCCGAUACCAGAAAGCCCCGACGUCGAGCUCGAGAAGAGCAGCAGUACAAGUAGUACCGACACACUUUCCAAGGCGCUAUCGACGAUCCUCUCGAAUGUGAUACGGGACUUCGAUUCCGAAGCUCAGAACACGCUCAAAAGCCAAGAUCAGCUGAACUCCGCCCUCGAUCGCCUCACCGGAGGUAAAAGUUAUCCAGUAAUCCCUCUCGAAUUUGAUUGGCAAAAUCUCAUUUCCACUCCGAGCUAGUUGUGAGCAAAACUUUUGUGUUUGGAAUUUAAAAAUUUCCGUUUUCCAGAGCUUGACGGACUGUUGGCAGAUGCGCCGCUUCCGUUCAUAAUGCAGCACGCCGCGAAGAUAACCGCCGUUAGGAAGAGAGUCUCGUCGUUGAACUCCGUGCUGAAAUCGAUACAGCGGCGCAUUGAUAACAUGGACCGUGUGAUUUCCGUUGGCACGGCGCAACAAGGUAAAAUAAAAUCAAUCGAAUUGUUUUGUUUCACCUUUGCUUACUUCAAUUUCUUUGAGCCAUGUUUAUGAAGCGAAACCAUAGUGAACUGAAACUCUGCAUCAGUCUUUCAAUUGAGUGAUAUGUUAUUGCCUGCCCACUGAUUUGGCUUCUCACUUUGCAGAGAAGGCCAAGUCGGGGACUCCCUGAGAUCGUCAGUGUCCGUCUUUGAUUUGAAAGGUACCUUGCCUUAGUGCUUCAUAGAUUAUCUACGAGUUCUUUAGGUAGCAUGCGUUGUGCUUGGCAUCGAAUCUUUGUCAAUGCUGCUCCUCUCGAAUCGUUCUUCGAGUUGUCAUCUGUGUUCUUAUUAUCCUUCACGAUCAUGAACCGUUAACAUGAUACAAUCUAGAUUCUAGUCUCUAAAACACUUUCCUCCAUCUUUUACGUGAAGUUUUAAUCAGCACUUCCCUCUAUUGAAAUGUGAGUUUACAGAAAGGUGUUACUGUCUUACUGACAGAGGAUUGCUGCUAUAUUCUGAUCUCAAGAUCACUUUUUUCCCUGAAGAGCUUGAUAUAAGGAACACUCUUUGGGUGCAAUCACCUUGUUUGAUUAAAAUUCAUCGUUGCAUUAGGGUGUUACUACAAAGGUGGAAUCUUUUUGCAUCAAAAUCAGGCAUUAAGGUUCAUCUUUUGUUACAGGAACGGAAAGAACCAUCUGACAGUGUAUAUAUUCAACAUGCUGGGAUCACCAAUCUCGGAAGAGACGGGAAGAUCCAGGUUGGCUCAGCUCAGUUCUGGAUGAGAAUGCCUUGCUCGGUCGGAACCAUUCCGUCCUGAUGCUCGAGGCAGUGGGAAGUGAAUCAUCAUGACGUUGCAGAUAUUGAAUCUAAUCAUGUUAGAUGUUUCUGUAGCACAGGGUUUCUGGUAGGAUAAUCGUAAGUGUAUUUGUUGAUCCGCCCUUGAGAUACAAUCAUUCAAUCUCGCAUUUGAGCCACAGCUAUAAAAAUCGUGUACUGAAUUUCACCGUCCUUAAGACAAUCCAACAUCAUUAGUGUUACUCUGGUCCUGAAGCACAGACCAAAGCAAAAUGGCCUUACGUGAAGCAUUCGGCCGUUCAUUCUGAUCUAAAAAAUCCUCAACCGUCUGCGAGGCCAAUCCGGUCCGUUUUGCGAAAAACCAUUCGGUUUCAUGACACUGAACCAUUAAAUACCUUAUCAAUCGUUCCAACUGUUCAAGUCGAUUUUUCACAGUUCAUUGAUUCAACUCAUUACAUGAUUCGUUCAUUCCUCGUAUGACCUGUUAGCAUGAACUAUGAGAUGCACAAGUUCGCAAUGAUGUCAAAUUACUAUGUUUGUUGUUAUAUUAUUAAAGAUUCGAUCUUUCUCACUUGGGUUUAAAAUGAGUUCUUAAAGAUUCGAUCUUUGUCAAACUCUCGCUCACCCGGUUCAACCGAGGUUCAAAAAUAUUGGUAAAAUGAGACGUAGGCAGCAAGAUGUGACUGCAUUUCACAAGCCCACCAGGCUUAAAAUCCAAUAGUCGUUGUUGGAUCCUAACCAGAGAGAAGAAGAAGAAUAAGAUCCCAACGAAAUGGAUAAGGAGAGCGAUCCCCCCAAAACCCCUAAAGCUCCACUCUCUGCCUCUUUAAAUUCUUCUCCAUCUCUGCAACUGUUCGACAAUUUCAAUCCUUCAGCUCUCUAAUUUCUCUGCAUCUGUUCUUUCACUUUUUUUCCUUCUUUUUUCUCUGUUUUGGAUUUCCAUUGAUGGUGUGAGGGGGGAGGAGGAAGGAUAUGAUGAUGUGUAACAAUGAACAAUCCAAUUCUGGAAUUCAUUAUGAUGACCUCUAUAUACACCUGAUCUCUCCAUUGUCUCUCCCCCUCAACCAUUGAUCUUUUCUCAGUUUUCAGAAGAAGAAAAAAGUCUGGAUCUUUCUACAUGAACUUUUGGUUUUCACUAACCAUUUUGUUUCAACUGCAUUUUCGUCAAUUCUGGAUCGUUGUGGGUUUUUCUCUGUGUGUGAUCUUUAAUGCUGGUUGAUCCAUCUGAUCUCCACUGAGCUUCUGGUGAAUUGUGUGAUUAGUAUGUCGGAAUGUUGGAAUUGACAGUGUUGGAAUCCUUGUUUGAUGAUAGAUUCAUAGUUGAAACUGUUGGACAAUCCAUACUGGUAAGGUCUAAAAAACACUAAUUUGUUGAGCUAAUCAAGUGUCCGAAUGAUGGAAUUUUACGGGUUCAUGAAUAUGCCUCGGCUAGAACAUGUCAUCUUCAAACAGUUGGGUACAAAUCCUGAAUGAAGAAGGUAUUCAUUCAGCCUCAUUACCCAGUCAAACGUUACAUGCUACCAAAGAUCUAGCUCAAGUUAUUUUGGCUAGAUCCGCAACAGAUUGAUCAAACCUUUGGACCAAACCAAUACCAUACAUUGUAGGACUUAAAAUAAUGCAUCAUUUUCUGGGCAGGAAUCGGAACCGGAAUUGGGGAGGAAUGACCUAAUUCCAUACUAGAGUCCAAUUCUGCUACAUUUUCCAAACGUAAGAAUAACAGGGUUUAAUUCAACUGAUUAUGGCUCCCCAAUUCCGACUUGAAUAUAAGUUCCAAUGGGAUUGGCGAUUUCGGCCUGGUGAACCAAAAACUGCGGAAAACGACACCGAAGUUAGAACUUUUUACUAAUGCUAGACAUCCAAGCUAGACCCUUUUACUAAUGUCCUGGGCGUCCAAGUUAGAACAUUUUACUCGUUCAGAUUGCUUCGUUCUAUCCUUUCAAUCGAUCGAGCCUGAUGCAAUACCCCCCACUUUAGCCUAAUGCACCAACCGACCAUCCUUACUAACACCCGCGACUCCGACAGCCUUACCAACCAGGCUAGAAGCUUUCCCCAAUAAACCUAUCAAAUAGAACUCAAUCGAUAGCUUUACCGGCUGAGCUAGAUGCCUGACGUAACGGCCUAUCACUUACCUUUCACCAAAUUAGAGAUUGGUGACUUUGAACUACAUACAAGAACCUCAGGCAUUUAGUUGUGUGUUCAUUUGAAAGUAGUUGAAAGGGAGGAGCUACUUACUUUGUAUGAAUUGAAAGCGAUAAUGUGAAUGGGUAGGGGCCAUGAUCAGAGGCAGAGACGCACAGAGAGACAGAAGCAUAGCAGAGAUCAUAGAGUGAAAAAUUAGAAAUUAAUGGUUCAUACAGCAAAGCAUAGGGCCUCCAGUUUGCAAGGAAACAGAGCAUAGUGGGAAAAAAUCAGAUUUAGGGAAGUGGACAAAAGUUUUACUUGUUUUGGCAAAGGGUUGGUCACGUGAGAAAUAGAGCAGAAAAUAUGUAAGCAUAACUAUGAACAUGACUUCCGGGUGGGGUGCGGCGGGUAGCUGGCGGUUGUCGGGAGGCAGUAAGAAGUAUAAUCUCGGUGCGCACUGGUGGUGGAUUUUGUAUCUGGAGUAGGAUCGAAGCAUAAUAAAGAACGGGACUUGAGGUAGUAAAAACUCGGUGGGCAGAAAUUCAAAACUAUUCAAUGCACUAUAUAGGGGGUGUGACCAAAUUGAAAGGCAUUGGGUUUGAGAUAGAAUUAUAGGUGCAUUCAAAAUGGUUGUAUAGAAUCCUAAAAUGCACUAAAUCACGUUUAAAAAUUAUAUAAUCAACUGUUAAUAAUGAAAGAAAAUACGUAUUAAAACAGUUUUUGCAAUUGAUGUUGAUUUUGAUCGUGACUCGAUAGAGUAUCCUUCAAAAUCCGCCACUCCGGUCAACAUAAUUAUACUCUUAAUUGAAGGCUAGACAUCGGGAAGUGAGUAUAUUCACGAUCUUCUUCCUAGUUCAAUCGGUAUGGCUAUCCAUUUCACUCAGUUGGGUUGCCACCCAAGAUUGGUCGGGUUUAGGGCAUUGCCAAAGCUUUGCAAAUCCCGCCUCGCCAAUCGUUUUAUGCCUACUAUUUGUAAUGAUCACGCUGUUGUGGACCAAAUUCAAAAGACGAAAUGAAGCGAAAAAAGGCCAAUGAAGUUGUUAGGUUGGUUCGAGAUGGCAUCUACCCACUAAUUGGGUUGAGUACAUAGUUUUCCAAAACAGAUUAUCGUUUUGAUAAAGCCAACAACUUUGAACCCUAGGAGGAAGGGCCAACUAAAGUGGAUUUUGGGUCAAAACCUAAACCUUUUGGGAAUUUUAAACCUUUUCAGGAUUUGCAUAAAUCAAGGUUCAAACCCAUAGGUUUAUGUACUUAUGUUUUGAUUAAUAGUGUAAAGCUAUUCAUCAAACAAAUAAUUUAAAGUGUAAAGCUUUUGGGAGGCACAUGGGUUAGUUAAAAAGAGGCAAUUGGUAUAAAGAAAUUAGUUGAAAAAUAUUACUUUUUGGUCCAUUCACUAUUCCACUU
rnacentral:lncRNA from 1 species